CCUCUGGAACUCUGGCGUAGAUUCUACAAGUGUUCUGGAACUCUGGCGUAGAUUCUACAAGUGUUCUGGAACUCUGGCGUAGAUUCUACAAGUGUUCUGGAACUCUGGCGUAGAUUCUACAAGUGUUCUGGAACUCUGGCGUAGAUUCUACAAGUGUUCUGGAACUCUGGCGUAGAUUCUACAAGUGUUCUGGAACUCUGGCGUAGAUUCUACAAGUGUUCUGGAACUCUGGCGUAGAUUCUACAAGUGUUCUGGAACUCUGGCGUCGCAUCCCUCCUAUAUUCUUCCAUGAGAAAUGAAAAUCAUUUGGUGUUUUGUUGAUGGUGGAAAACAGAAUCUCCCAUAAGCGUUCAAUUGGGUUGAUAUCUGGAGUCUGAGACGGCUCAUCAAACCGUUCAAUGACCACUGGUGCCCUGUGGAUGGGGGGCAUUGUCAUUCUAUGAGGGCAUAGCCAUGGUAGCUAAAAUAAUGGUCUGCACAGCAUUUUUAUACAUGACCCUAAGCAUGAUGGGAUGUUAAUUGCUUAAUGAACUCACCUGUGUGGAAGCAUCUGCUUUUAAUACUCUGUAUCACUCAUUUGUGUUUCCUUUUUUGGGGGUCGUUACCUGUAUAUGAUCCUUUCUUUGAUAAGCCACCUUUCAUAACUACUAGGGUAGAGGACGCUGCGUGUCAGGGUAGAGGUAGAGGACGCUGCGUGUCAGGGUAGAGGUAGAGGACGCUGCGUGUCAGGGUAGAGGUAGAGGACGCUGCGUGUCAGGGUAGAGGUAGAGGACGCUGCGUGUCAGGGUAGAGGUAGAGGACGCUGCGUGUCAGGGUAGAGGACGCUGCGUGUCGGGGUAGAGGACGCUGCGUGUCGGGGUAGAGGACGCUGCGUGUCGGGGUAGAGGACGCUGCGUGUCGGGGUAGAGGACGCUGCGUGUCGGGGUAGAGGACGCUGCGUGUCGGGGUAGA